UACAGAGGGGGCAAGCGUUGUUCGGAAUUACUGGGCGUAAAGGGCGCGUAGGCGGCCUUCUAAGUCGAACGUGAAAUCCCCGGGCUCAACCCGGGAACUGCGUCCGAUACUGGAAGGCUUGAAUCCGGGAGAGGGAUGUGGAAUUCCAGGUGUAGCGGUGAAAUGCGUAGAUAUCUGGAGGAACACCGGUGGCGAAGGCGACAUCCUGGACCGGUAUUGACGCUGAGGCGCGAAAGCCAGGGGA
rnacentral:rRNA from 1 species